UGGACCGGCCCAAAGACUAAUCAU
rnacentral:siRNA from 1 species